UGCAGUAUUUCAGUCAUUUCAUGUUUGCUUGUAUAUCACAACGGCUUAGCAGGGAAGUCGGGUAGCUACUGGGUCUGUUGCAGUUCUGCUGACAUUCACAAAUUAUCUGAUUUUAAAACUAAUGGUUUCUUCGUUUUAGCUGCUGGCUCCUUUGGUGAUGAGUGUCAUUUCAGUCCAGUCUGUGAAAAUGGUGACAGCCAUCGUGUUACUGAGCGUCUUCUUAGUUUCAGGUGCUUUGGCUUUUUGUCAGGAUGUAGCCCUGUUCAUUACUGCACCAAAGGAGAUGGAAGCACUGAGUGGAUCUUGUCUGAAAAUCCCAUGUAACUUUAGUUUUAACAAAAGCGCUCAACAGACAUUUGACGGUACAAGAACAACCUUCGGAGUGUGGAUUAAAAAUAACCAAUAUUUUGCCAACAAACCACAUAAUGUGAUUUUCAACAGCAGCUGGAAGAAUAAUAAGUUCCCAAUGAGUCUUACUGGAGAUCUGAGUCAGAAAAACUGCACCACUUUAUUUUCCAGUGUAAACACAAGUUACACAGACAAGUACUACUUCAGAAUUGAGAACCGACCAUUUGUGGUAACAGCUUCUUGUGAUCCUCUUCAAAUAACAGUCAAAGAUUCUCCUCCGAGGCCCAGCAUUGAGAUCUCAGGUGAUCUGAAGGAGAAGCAGUCGGUCACUAUAACCUGCUCAGCUUUCACUCCCUGUCCACACUCCCCUCCUGAACUCACCUGGACUCUCCAACAAGACCCUCACAACAAAAUAGAGGAAAACACAGAUCGAACCUUCACAACUAAAAUCCAGACAACCUUCACUCUGUCAGACGAACAUGAUGGAUUCAUCAUCACCUGUUCAGCCAGAUAUCCUGUAAAUGAAGGAAAAGACGUCAAGACAGCAGAGGAGAGAACGACGCUCAAAGUUUCAUAUGCUCCCAAGAACACCUCAGUGUCCAUCAGUCCGCCAGGUUUGGUGUCAGUAGGUAGCCUGGUGAACCUGACCUGCUCCAGCAGAGCCAAGCCUCCUGUCAUCCGCUUCACCUGGUUCAAGACCAGCAAAGACGGACCUGUCAGUGUAUCUGAAGGAGACUUUUACAGCUUUAAUGUCACUGAUGGAGAAGUUUAUUUCUGCGUGGCCACAAAUGAGCUUGGUAAUGGAACAUCACCAGAGAUCCAUCUGAAUAUGAAAGGUAAAAAGUGGGACUUACGCGAUGCUGCAUCAAUAUUGUUGCACGUCAACAUUCAACACUUUUUUAGUCACUUAUAUUGGCUUUGUUUUCUUGUCUUGACGUGAAGUUGGCUCUCUAGAAUUGGGGCCGUUUAUUGGAGGAAUCGUUGGGUUCAUCGCACUCAUCUGCCUGAUUGUAUGUGUUUGGCGUUUGAAGUCAACAUAUGCAACUGCACAACAGACUCAGAGUCAAAUGGGUGAAGAGGCGGCUGCUGAAGAGCCAGCAAGUAAAACAGAAGAAGAAAUCAUCCAUUAUGGAGAGAUCGACUUCUCCACGAGACCUGAACUGGCCUCGGUGCAGGACGGUGGACAGCAGCAGCAUACGCUGUACGCACAGGUCAAAGUGUCCCAGACAGCCAGCAUCUUAAAACAGACCGCCGACGGCCCAGAGGAUCUCUACGCUCAAGUGAAGAGAAACUGAGUGCUCUUGUUAAAAGACAAAAAAUACAUUUGUGUAGAAUUCAUAUUUAAUGUGCCUUAAUGUUGUCUUUGCUGCCUACAGUUCAAUGGAGAGGAAUUUAAAACAUCCACAUCCUGCAGAUUUUCAAUGUCAGUUAUCAACAUAUUCUCCCAAUCCUAGAUUAUGGUGACUUAAUCUACAGACUCGCCUCCAAAAAUCAUCUCAAUAAACUGGACGUCAUCUACCAUACUGCCAUUCGCUUUGUCACCAGUGUCCCUUUCAACACUCAUCACUGUAACCUGUAUUCUCUAUAGUCAACUGGCCAUCCCUCCAUAGCAGGCGUCAGACCAGAAGACUAUCAUUUGCAAAACCCCUCCAUAUCUCCGCUCACUACUCAAUAUCUACAACAGGAACUGCAAUUUACGUUCUAGCAAAUUCUUCAGUAUGGUCAUUCCUCCUUUGGUCGUCACUCAUUCCAGUUUGCUGCUCCUAGUGACUGGAAUGAGUUGCAAAAGAUGCUAAAACUCCACACCCUUAUUCUGUUACCCUCCUUUAAUGACUCAUUACAAGCGAUAGUUUCUGAUCACUGCACCUGCUUCUGAAUUUGCCUCUCUGGAACACAGCACAUAUAUAUAUAUAUAUAUAUAUGUAUAUAUAUAUAUAUAUAUAUAUAUAUUGUUGUAUAUACUGUAUUUAUUGUGAUGUUUUAAUUUUGUCUGUUUUAUUGCACUAGUCGUAUUUAUGUUCUAUGUUCUAAUGCAGGGGUCUCCAACAAGUAGCUCGCAAGCUACCCGUUUCUGAGUGGCUCGCUAAC